UCGUAUAUAUUUUUUUAUUCAAUUUUGACCAAAAUUUACCAAAAAAUGCAAGAAAAUGUUAAAAUUAACCGUUCGGUCUAUACAAAUCAUAUCACAUGCGAAUCAAAUUUCCAUAACAACGAGUUGUUUAUUUAUUUGCAAAAGUGCGAGAAUUGUAACGCGUAUGGAAAAAAUGGCUAAAAUCAGCGAUUUUAAAGAGGAAAACCAGGUCUUCCUGCCUGAAUUGGUCAUUCAAGAAGCUUCAGAAGCUAUAAAUAAAGUGGUGCCAGCAAAAUCUAAACAAUUAUACGAAAAAGAGUAUUCAAAUUUUUGUGAAUGGAGGAAGUGGAAGGAUGGAAAGGGAGUAGACGAGAGAAUACUUUUGGCCUAGAUUUCUGAACGAUCCAAAAAUGCAAAAUCUUCGUCAUUGUGGGCGUAUUAUUCCCAACUGACUGAAGAAAAUGUUAUCUGUUAAAGAAAAUAUCGAUAUAAGCAGAUUUCAUCAGGUAUCUGCUUUCUUAAAACAACACUCUGUAGGGCACAGACCAAAGAAAUCUAAAGUCUUCAGCUUCGAAGAAAUGGAAAAGUUUUUAGACACUGCUUCAGAUGAUGAAUAUUUGCUGCAAAAAGUGGCUCUAAUUGUGGGAGUUUUUGGAGGCUGUAGAAUUGGAGAA